GGUGUAGUUCAGUGGUAGAACAGUUACCUGGCACGUAUAAGACCCUGGGUUCAAUCCCCAGCACC
rnacentral:tRNA from 1 species